rnacentral:rRNA from 1 species
UGAGCAAUCUGCCCUUCUCAUCGGAAUAAGCGUUGGAAACGACGUCUAAUGCCGAAUACGACCUCCUUUCGCAUGAUCGGAGGUGGAAAGCUCCGGCGGAGAAGGAUGAGCUCGCGGCCUAUCAGCUAGUUGGUGUGGGUAAUGGCCCACCAAGGCGACGACGGGUAGCCGGCCUGAGAGGGUGACCGGCCACACUGGGACUGAGACACGGCCCAGACUCCGUACGGGAGCAG